GCCUGACGGAGCAAUACCGCGUGAGGGAGGAAGGCUCUUGGGUCGUAAACCUCUUUUCUCAGGGAAGAACACAAUGACGGUACCUGAGGAAUAAGCAUCGGCUAACUCCGUGCCAGCAGCCGCGGUAAUACGGAGGAUGCANGCGUUAUCCGNNNNGNNNNGNCGUAAAGCGUCCGCAGGUGGCAAUGUAAGUCUGNNNNUAAAGAGUGAGGCUCAACCUCAUAAGAGCAGUGGAAACUACAUAGCUAGAGUACGUUCGGGGCAGAGGGAAUUCCUGGUGUAGCGGUGAAAUGCGUAGAGAUCGGGAAGAACACCAGUGGCGCAAGCGCUCUACUGGACCGCAACUGACACUGAGGGACGAAAGCUAGGGGAGCGAAUGGGAUUAGAUACCCCAGUAGUC
rnacentral:rRNA from 1 species